AUUGAACGCUGGCGGCAGGCCUAACACAUGCAAGUCGAACGAGUGGCGGACGGGUGAGUAAUGUCUGGGAAACUGCCCGUUGUCGGGGGAUAACUACUGGAAACGGUAGCUAAUACCGCAUACCCUCUGAUUUGCCCAGCUGGGAUGAGCUAGUAGGUGGGGUAACGGCUCACCUAGGCGACGCUCCCUCGCUGGUCUGAGAGGAUGACCAGCCACACGGGAACUGAGACACGGUCCAGACGCCUACGGGAGGCAGCGUUGGGGAAUAUGGCACAAUGGGCGCAAGCCUGAUGCAGCCAUGCCGCGUGUAUGAAGAAGGCCUUCGGGUUGUAAAGUACUUUCAGCGAGGAGGCGUUACUCGCAGAAGAAGCACCGGCUAACUCCGUGCCAGCAGCCGCGGUAAUUC
rnacentral:rRNA from 1 species